rnacentral:rRNA from 1 species
AACGAACGCUGGCGGCAUGCCUAACACAUGCAAGUCGAACGAGACCUUCGGGUCUAGUGGCGCACGGGUGCGUAACGCGUGGGAAUCUGCCCUCUGGUACGGAAUAACUCAGGGAAACUUGAGCUAAUACCGUAUAAUGACUUCGGUCCAAAGAUUUAUCGCCUGAGGAUGAGCCCGCGUAGGAUUAGCUUGUUGGUGAGGUAAAGGCUCACCAAGGCGACGAUCCUUAGCUGGUCUGAGAGGAUGAUCAGCCACACUGGGACUGAGACACGGCCCAGACUCCUACGGGAGGCAGCAGUGGGGAAUAUUGGACAAUGGGCGAAAGCCUGAUCCAGCAAUGCCGCGUGAGUGAUGAAGGCCUUAGGGUUGUAAAGCUCUUUUACCCGGGAUGAUAAUGACAGUACCGGGAGAAUAAGCCCCGGCUAACUCCGUG